GGCAUUGUAAAUGACAACACCGCAACUGAAAGCAAGCUUGAAUUUCUGGGAGUAGCAUUAGGAUACAGGACCCCUGCUGAGCUCACCAGUUCCUUGCUCUACACAGCUGCUUUCUCAGCUGGGGUUUUGAAAUAAGCACUGUGAGAAAAGACAGAAAUGACCAUGAUGCAUCUUUCUCACUAUGAGAAAAAGGUACCAUGUGAAGGCCUGGGCAUAUAACAUGAAACAAGAAAGAUAAGGCCCGUGCUUACAUAGAACUUGGUGAAGAAUCUAGACCAUAACAAGCACACAGAGAAAACGUAUCACAAAUUGUGCUAAAGUUCUGUAAAGGGAUUAAGAUGAAGUGUCACAAGACUGAAUUAGACAGAGUGCCCUUGAAAGAGUGCCAAUUUUUAGAAUGGAGGGUGUAGAUCCAUCCUUUGCAACUGGUGAGGACCUCCUCAGUAAGGCACUGAGCCAGGAGUCUAUACAGCCAUGCCAGCAGGGAGCACUGUCUUUCAUUGUCUGAUGUUUAUUGCAAACCUGUUCUUUUCAGCUUUUUGUUGUUUCAGCCUAGUCCAAAGACGUUUACAUCCUGGAAGAGAACUUGCUGGCUUUUCACCUCAGCAUGUAUGGGCCAAACUAAUAUAACAAGAAGUCUUGAGAGGAGUCAGCGGCCAAGCUCCAUGUCUUGCAGCCAAACAAUGCUGUGGGAUGGAAGGUGGGAUGUCAUGUGUCUGGUUUACAGCACUCACGUAUCAGUUGGCAGUUAACGGAAGUGCUACUGAUUGUAACAGUGGAAGCAAUUUGAAAUGAAAUACAACACUUAAAGCAAAUGAAACGGAAGUGAAUGCCAGCAGUAAAUGGCAAGAAGAAAUCCAGUUCAGUGUGUUCCUCAGAAAUCUUGCCUCUUGGGACUAAAUGCUGCAAAUGUAACUCUUAUCCUUGUUUUUCAAGUUUUACCAUCUCAAAGCUAUCCACUUUAUAUUAAAUUAGUUCUGUUAUAUUAUGUCAAUUUGUAUUCUUAAGAGCACAAGUUUGGCCUCAAAUAGACCUGAGCUGAGAUCCAA
rnacentral:lncRNA from 1 species